AACGUAGGUGGCGAGCGUUAUCCGGAUUUACUGGGCGUAAAGCGUGUGCAGGCGGGGAGACAAGUGGUGUAUGAAAUUUCCCGGCUUAACCGGGAAGGGUUAUGCCAGACUGUCUUUCUGGAGUGCGAGAGAGGGGCGUGGAAUUCCGGGUGUAGUGGUGAAAUGCGUAGAGAUCCGGAGGAACACCAACGGCGUAGGCAGCGCCCUAGACGAGACCUGACGCUCAGGCACGAAAGCGCGGGGAGCGAACAGG
rnacentral:rRNA from 1 species